rnacentral:rRNA from 1 species
GACGAACGCUGGCGGCGUGCUUAACACAUGCAAGUCGUACGAUGACCCGGCUCUUCGGAGCUGGUGAUUAGUGGCGAACGGGUGAGUAACACGUGGGUGACCUGCCCUGCACUCUGGGAUAAGCCCGGGAAACUGGGUCUAAUACUGGAUACGACCAGUGGCCGCAUGGUCUGCUGGUGGAAAGCCCUUCGGGGUGGUGUGGGAUGCGCCCGCGGCCUAUCAGCUUGUUGGUGGGGUGAUGGCCUACCAAGGCGACGACGGGUAGCCGGCCUGAGAGGGUGUCCGGCCACACUGGGACUGAGACACGGCCCAGACUCGUACGGGAGGCAGCAGUGGGGAAUCUUGCACAAUGGGCGAAAGCCUGAUGCAGCGACGCCGCGUGAGGGAUGACGGCCUUCGGGUUGUAAACCUCUUUCGGCAGGGAACAAGCCUGGGGGGUUUCUUCUGGGUGAGGGUACCUGCGGAAGAAGCACCGGCUAACUACGUG